rnacentral:rRNA from 1 species
GACGUAGGGCGCGAGCGUUGUCCGGAUUUAUUGGGCGUAAAGAGCUCGUAGGCGGCUCAUUGCGUCGUCGGUGAAAACCCGUGGCUUAACUGCGGGCUUGCCGACGAUACGGGUGGGCUGGAGUUCGGUAGGGGAGACUGGAAUUCCUGGUGUAGCGGUGAAAUGCGCAGAUAUCAGGAAGAACACCCGUGGCGAAGGCGGCUCUCUGGGACGGUACUGACGCUGAGACGCGAAAGCGUGGGGAGCGAACAGG